UACGGAGGGGGCAAGCGUUGUUCGGAAUUACUGGGCGUAAAGGGCGCGUAGGCGGCCUUCUAAGUCGGACGUGAAAUCCCCGGGCUCAACCCGGGAACUGCGUCCGAUACUGGAAGGCUUGAAUCCGGGAGAGGGAUGCGGAAUUCCAGGUGUAGCGGUGAAAUGCGUAGAUAUCGGGAGGAACACCGGUGGCGAAGGCGGCAGCCUGGACCGGUACUGACGCUGAGGCGCGAAAGCCAGGGGAGCAAACGGG
rnacentral:rRNA from 1 species